AUAUCAAUAAGCGGAGGAAAAGAAACCAACAGGGAUUGCCCUAGUAACGGCGAGUGAAGCGGCAACAGCUCAAAUUUGAAAUCUGGCUUCGGCCCGAGUUGUAAUUUGCAGAGGAAGCUUUAGGCGCGGCACCAACUGAGUCCCCUGGAACGGGGCGCCACAGAGGGUGAGAGCCCCGUAUAGUUGGACGCCUAGCCUGUGUAAAGCUCCUUCGACGAGUCGAGUAGUUUGGGAAUGCUGCUCAAAAUGGGAGGUAAAUUUCUUCUAAAGCUAAAUACCGGCCAGAGACCGAUAGCGCACAAGUAGAGUGAUCGAAAGAUGAAAAGCACUUUGAAAAGAGGGUUAAAUAGCAC
rnacentral:rRNA from 1 species